GGCGGGGUUCCGGAGCGGUCAAACGGGCGUGGCUGUAAACCACGUGGCUCUGCCUUCGCAGGUUCGAAUCCUGCCCCCGCUA
rnacentral:tRNA from 1 species